AGCGGGAGGGAGAGAGCGAAGGUUGGGACGGCGCAAUACCAUCCGAGUAGGGGCAGAGUGAGAAGUGUUGGAUGAGAGCAAGAGGGAAAAGGAUACAAGGUAGUGGUCGGAGAUUUGGAGGGGAGUUGCAAUGAGAUUAGUGGAAGAACAGCAUCUAGUAAAGAUGAGGUCAAAAGAGGAGAGGAGUGGAAAGAAGGAGGCAGAGAGGAAUGAGUAGACGUGGGGAGGAUAAAGUCACCCAGAACUGUGAGAGGUGAGCCAUCCUCAGGAAAGGAACUUAUCAAGGCGUCAAGCUCAUUGAUGAACUCUCCAAGGGAACCUGGAGGGCGAUAAAUGAUAAGGAUGUUAAGCUUGAAAGGGCUGGUAACUGUGACAGCAUGGAAUUCAAAUGAGGAGAUAGACAGAUGGGUCAGGGGAGAAAGAGAGAAUGUCCACUUGGGAGAGAUGAGGAUUCCAGUGCCACCACCCCGCUGGCUCGAUGCUCUAGGGGUAUGCGAGAACACGUGGGCAGACGAGGAGAGAGCAGUAGGAGUAGCAGUGUUAUCUGUGGUAAUCCAUGUUUCCGUCAGUGCCAGGAAGUCUAGGGACUGGAGGGUAGCAUAGGCUGACUUGUUGGCCGCAGACCGGCAGUUCCAGAGGCUGCCGGAGACCUUGAACUCCACGUGGGUCGUGCGCGCUGGGACCACCAG
rnacentral:lncRNA from 1 species